rnacentral:rRNA from 1 species
GACGAACGCUGGCGGCGUGCUUAACACAUGCAAGUCGAGCGGUAAGGCCCUUCGGGGUACGACGAGCGGCGAACGGGUGAGUAACACGUGGGUGACCUGCCUCUAGCUCUGGGAUAAGCCUGGGAAACUGGGUCUAAUACCGGAUAUGACUCCACGGCGCAUGUUGUGGGGUGGAAAGCCUUGUGUGGCUAGAGAUGGGCCCGCGGCCUAUCAGCUUGUUGGUGGGGUGAUGGCCACCAAGGCGACGACGGGUAGCCGGCCUGAGAGGGCGACCGGCCACACUGGGACUGAGACACGGCCCAGACUCCUACGGGAGGCAGCAGUGGGGAAUCUUGCGCAAUGGGCGAAAGCCUGACGCAGCGACGCCGCGUGAGGGAUGAC